rnacentral:ncRNA from 1 species
CAUAAUUGCACGGGGUGCUUUUGCUGAAAAGCAAGGCUGAGAUGAUACCCGAAAAACCUGAUACGGAUAAUACCGGCGUAGGGAUGCAUGGCCGGUCUUGU